UACGAAGGGGGGCUAGCGUUGCUCGGAAUCACUGGGCGUAAAGCGCACGUAGGCGGAUUGCUAAGUCAGGGGUGAAAUCCUGGAGCUCAACUCCAGAACUGCCUUUGAUACUGGCAAUCUCGAGUCCGGGAGAGGUGAGUGGAACUGCGAGUGUAGAGGUGAAAUUCGUAGAUAUUCGGAAGAACACCAGUGGCGAAGGCGACUCACUGGACAUGUAUUGACGCUGAGGUGCGAAAGCGUGGGGAGCAAACAGG
rnacentral:rRNA from 1 species